rnacentral:rRNA from 1 species
UACGGAGGGGGCUAGCGUUGUUCGGAAUUACUGGGCGUAAAGCGCACGUAGGCGGUUUCUUAAGUCAGAGGUGAAAGCCCGGGGCUCAACUCCGGAAUUGCCUUUGAAACUGGGAAACUUGAACACGGGAGAGGUGAGUGGAAUUCCGAGUGUAGAGGUGAAAUUCGUAGAUAUUCGGAGGAACACCAGUGGCGAAGGCGGCUCACUGGACCGUUGUUGACGCUGAGGUGCGAAAGCGUGGGGAGCAAAC